UACGUAGGGUGCAAGCGUUGUCCGGAUUUACUGGGCGUAAAGAGCGCGUAGGCGGCUCGUUAAGUGAGAAGUGAAAGCUGUGGGCUCAACCCACAAACCGCUUUUCAUACUGGCGAGCUGGAGUGAUGCAGAGGUGGAUAGAAUUCCUGGUGUAGCGGUGAAAUGCGUUGAUAUCAGGAGGAAUACCCGUGGCGAAGGCGGUCCACUGGGCAUCAACUGACGCUGAGGCGCGAAAGCGUGGGUAGCAAACAGG
rnacentral:rRNA from 1 species